UUUUCAUGCUUUCUUAUUUAUUCUUUUGUUUAUGGACUUUGACACGUUCUCUUUUAUUCUUAAGCACGGACAUUAAUGCUUUGCCGUUCCUCACUAACUACGAUUCUAAAAAUAACACGGCUUGGUUUGAAACAGAGACAGGAAGGAGUUGAGGACGAAAAUUAAUUAUUUGAAAUUUAAAAAUUUACAGAAACGUCUUGCAAGACUUGAAAUAUAUCUUUUAAUAUUUCUCAAAAUUGUAUGGUUAUUGGCAGGUACCAUUUGUGCAGUCCAGGCCGGGUUGUGGGGGUUGUGGAAACAUUUUAAACACUAGCAAAAUUUCGGUAGUUCAAAAUGUCAAAAAUCAAAAUAUCUUGAGAAAUACCAAAAUAUCAAAAGUUCAAAGGGUAUAUCUUAAAAAAUAGUGAAAUAUUGAAAGGUCAAAAUAUUUUAAAGACCGCUGAAUAACAAAAGUUCAAAAAGUCAAAAGCUCGAAUAUCUUAAGAAGUAUUGAAAUAUCACAAGGUAAAAAUGUCAAUAUAUCUAAAGCUCAAAACGUAAAUAAGUCGAAACAUUUGAAGAAGUAGCAAAAUUUCAAAAGAUCACAAUAUCUUAAGAAAUACUAAAAUAUUAAAAAGUCAAAAUGUCAAUAUUUCAAAAGCUUAAAACGUAAAAAGCCGAACCGUGUUAAGAACUAGCAAAAUUUCAAUAUUGCCAGAGGUCAAAGUAUCUUAAGAAAUAUUGAAAUAUCAAAAGGUCAAAAUAUUUUACGAACUAAAAAUAUCAAAAAGUCACAAGAACACAAUAUCUUGAGAGAUACUGAAAUAUUAGAAGGUUCAAAGGUCACAAUAUCUGAAGAAAUACUUCAGUAUUAAAAGUUCAGAGGCUCAAAUUAUCUUUAGAAGUAUUGAAGUAUUAAGAGAUCAAAAGUUCACAAUAUCUUAAGAAGUACUGAAAUAUUGGGUCAAAACGUAAAAAAUUCGAAACAAAAGUCAAAAAUAUUUUUAAGAACAACCAAAAUAUAAGAUUGAAGGGUCGAAAGUUCAAAAUGUCACAAUAUCUUAAGAAAAAUGGAAAUAUCAAAAUCACAAUAUCUUAAGAAGUACUGAAAUAUUGGGUCAGAAUGUCAAAUUGUUUAAAACCACGGAAAUCUCAAAAGGUCACAAAAUGUUAAAAACCACUGAAGUUUCGAAAUGUCAAGAGCUCACAACGUAAAAAAGUCGAAACAUUUUAAGAACUAGCAAAAUUUCAAAAAGUCAAAUAAUUUAAAAACUACCAAAAUAUAAGAUCGAAAGACCAAAAGUUCAAAAGGUCACAAUAUCUUAAGAAAUAUUGAAAUAUCAAAAGGUCAAAAUAUUUUAAGAAAUACUUAAAUAUUACAAGGUCAAAAUGUCAAUAUUUCAAAAGCUAAACACGUAAAAAAGCCCAACCAUUUUAAGAACUAACAAAAUUUCAAUAGUGCAAAAGGUCACAAUAUCUUAAGAUAUACUGAAAUAUCAACAGGACAAAAUAUUUUAAGAAAUAAUUAAAUAUCACAAGGUCAAAAUGUCAAUAUUUCAAAAGCUCAAAACGUAAAAAGUCAAACCAUUUUAAGAAUUAACAAAAUUUCAAUAGUGCAAAAGACCAAAAUAUCUUAAGAAAUACUGAAAUAUCAAAAGGUCAAAAUAUUUUAAGAAAUACUUAAAUAUCACAAGGUCAAAAUGUCAAUAUUCAAAAGCUCAAAACGUAAAAAGUCAAACCAUUUUAAGAAUUAACUAAAUUUCAAUGGUGCAAAAGGCCAAAAUAUCUUGAGAAAUAUUGAAAUAUCAAAAGGUUAAAAUAUUUUAGGAAAUACUUUAAUAUUAGAAGGUCAAAAUGUCAAUAUUUCAAAAGCUCAAUACGUAAAAAGUCAAACCAUUUUAAGAAUUAAUUAAAUUUUAAUAGUGCAAAAGACCAAAAUAUCUUAAGAAAUACUGAAAUAUCAAAAGGUCAAAAUAUUUUAGGAAAUAGUUAAAUAUCACAAGGUCAAAAUGUCAAUAUUUCAAAAGCUCAAAACGUAAAAAAAACACCAUUUUAAGAAUUAACAAAAUUUCAGUAGUGCCAGAGGUCCCAAUAUCUUAAGAAAUAUUGAAAUAUCAAAAGGUUAAAAUAUUUUAGGAAAUACUGUAAUAUCAGAAGGUCAAAAUGUCAAUAUUUCAAAAGCUCAAAACGUAAAAAAAUCAAACCAUUUUAAGAAUUAACAAAAUUUCAAUAGUGCAAAAGGCCAAAAUAUCUUAAGAAAUAUUGAAAUAUCAAAAGGUCAAAAUAUUUUAGGAAAUACUUAAAUAUCACAAGGUCAAAAUGUCAAUAUUUCAAAAGCUCAAAACCUAAAAAGUCAAACCAUUUUAAGAAUUAACAAAAUUUCAAUAGUGCAAAAGGCCAAAAUAUCUUAAGAAAUACUGAAAUAUCAAAAAGGUCAAAAUAUUUUAGGAAAUACUUAAAUAUCACAAGGUCAAAAUGUCAAUUUUUCAAAAGCUCAAAACCUAAAAAGUCGAACCAUUUUAAGAAUUAACAAAAUUUCAGUAGUGCAAAAGGCCAAAAUAUCUUAAGAAAUAUUGAAAUAUGAAAAGGUCAAAAUAUUUUAAGAAAUACUUAAAUAUCACAAGGUCAACAUGUCAAUAUUUCAAAAGCUCAAAACGUAAAAAAAACACCAUUUUAAGAAUUAACAAAAUUUCAGUAGUGCCAGAGGUCACAAUAUCUUAAGAAAUAUUGAAAUAUCAAAAGGUCAAAAUAUUUUAAGACAUACUUAAAUAUCACAAGGUCAAAAUGUCAAUAUUUCAAAAGCUCAAAACGUAAAAAAAAAACACCAUUUUAAGAAUUAACAAAAUUUCAGUAGUGCAAAAGGCCAAAAUAUCUUAAGAAAUAUUGAAAUAUCAAAAGGUCAAAAUAUUUUAGGAAAUAGUUAAAUAUCACAAGGUCAAAAUGUCAAUAUUUCAAAAGCUCAAAACGUAAAAAAAAACACCAUUUUAAGAAUUAACAAAAUUUCAGUAGUGCCAGAGGUCACAAUAUCUUAAGAAAUAUUGAAAUAUCAAAAAGUCAAAAUGUCAAUAUUUCAAAAGCUCAAAACGUAAAAAGUCAAACCAUUUUAAGAAUUAACAAAAUUUUAAUAGUGCAAAAGGCCAAAAUAUUUUAAGAAGUAUUGAAAUAUCAAAAGGUUAAAAGAUUUUAGGAAAUACUUUAAUAUCAGAAGGUCAAAAUGUCAAUAUUUCAAAAGCUCGAAACGUAAAAAGUCAAACCAUUUUAAGAAUUAACAAAAUUUCAAUAGUGCAAAAGCCAAAAUAUCUUAAGAAAUAGUGAAACAUCAAAAGGUCAAAAUAUUUUAAGAAAUACUUAAAUAUCACAAGGUCAAAAUGUCAAUAUUUCAAAGCUCAAAACGUAUAAAACCCACCAUUUUAAGAAUUAACAAAAUUUCAGUGGUGCCAGAGGUCACAAUAUCUUAAGAAAUAUUGAAAUAUCAAAAGGUCAAAAUAUUUUAGGAAAUACUUUAAUAUCAGAAGGUCAAAAUGUCAAUAUUUCAAAAGUUCGAAACGUAAAAAAGCCCACCAUUUAAAGAAUUAAUAAAAUUUCAGUAGUGCCAGAGGUCACAAUAUUUUAGGAAAUACUUUAAUAUCAGAAAGUCAAAAUGUCAAUAUCAAAAGCUCAAAACGUAAAAAACCCAACCAUUUUAAAAACUAACAAAAUUUCAAUAGUGCAAAAGGCCAAAAUAUCUUAAGAAAUACUGAAAUAUCAAAAGGUCAAAAUAUUGUAGGAAAUAGUUAAAUAUCACAAGGUCAAAAUGUCAAUAUUUCAAACGCCCAAAACGUAAAAAAACCCAUCAUUUUAAGAAUUAACAAAAUUUCAGUAGUGCCAGAGGUCACAAUAUCUUAAGAAAUAUUGAAAUAUCAAAAGGUCAGUAUAUUUAAGGAAAUACUUAAAUAUCACAAGGUCAAAAUGCCAAUAUUUUAAAAGCUCAAAACGUAAAAAAUCCACCAUUUUAAGAAUUAACAAAAUUUCAGUAGUGCAAAAGGCCAAAAUAUUUAAGAAAUAUUGAAAAAUCAAAAGGUCAAAAUAUUUUACGAAAUACUUAAAUAUCACAAGGUCAAAAUGUCAAUAUUUCAAAAGCUCAAAACGUAAAAAACCUCACCACUUUAAGAAUUAACAAAAUUUCAGUAGUGCAAAAGGCCAAAAUAUUUAAGACAUAUUGAAAUAUCAAAAGGUCAAAAUAUUUUGGGAAAUACUUUAAUAUCAGAAGGUCAAAAUGUCAAUAUAACAGAAGUUCAAAAGGUAAAAAAGUCGAAAUAUUUUAAGAAUUAUUGAAGUAUCAAAAGUUCGGAAGCCAAAAGUUCAAAUACCUUAAGAAAUAUUGAAAUAUCACAAGGUCAAAAUGUCAAUAUUACGAAAGAUAAAAAAGUCGAAAUAUUUUAUGAAAAUACCAAAAUAUCAAAAGCUCAAAUGUCAAAACGUUGAUAUUUUAAGAACAACUAGAAGUCCAAAUAUCUUAAGAAAAAUUGAAAUAUUAAAUAUCAGAAGGUCAAAAUAUGUUAGGAAUUAAAAAACAUCAAAAGUUCAAAGGAUCAAAAGGACACAAUAUCUUAAGAGAUACCGAUGUAUUAAAAGUCAAAAAACCAGCAGUAUAUCAAAAGAUAAAAAAGUCAAAAUAUCAAAAAAAAAAAAAUGUAUAUCGAAAGGUCGAAAACUCAAAAGUUAAAAAUAUAUUCAAGACCACUGAAUGAAUAUUCAAAAGGUCAAAAUAUUUUACGAACUAAAAGAUCUCAUAAGGUGACCAGAUCUUAAAAAUUACUGUAAUAUUGAAAGGCCAAAAGGUCCCAACAUUUUAUGGUUGACCUGACUCGAGUCGACAUUACCUGACCUGACUUACUAUGACUUAAGUACCAAAAUUCAAAUUUUCGGUACUUUAAAGUAAAAAUUUUCGAAAACGUCUUGCAAGACCCAAAACAUCACAUUUUUAAACAUUUCUGAAUAUACUACAUUUAAAAAAAAGCCAGACAUUACACUUUAGACAGACGAAUCGUCAAUUUUUUUUUUUCACAAAAAUCCCUCCCACCCCAACUAAACCUCGUUU